rnacentral:pre_miRNA from 1 species
UAUAAGGGAUUUUGACAUUUUGCUUGCACUGUUUGACCACCCGUCUUAUUUAAAAAUUUUGUGCAAAUAUAAAAAAUAAAAAGUUGUGCUUAAAGUACUUUGGAUAAUAAAGUAAGUCACAAAUAAAAUAAAUAAUAAUUUCAAAUUUUUUUUGAAUAAGACGGGUGGUCAAACAGUGCAAGCAAAAUGUCAAAAUCCCUUAUA